CGGUAAACCAGGUCCGCUUUGACCCCGUGGUAGGUGCUGGUCAACACAAAAGGAACAAGUUGAUGGCAACAUCAUUCAUCGAAAGAGACAGAAGAUGAACAUGUACCUGACGUGCUUCAUGUAGCAUCUCUCGUACAAGAAGGUCCGCUGGCAGUUGUUGCACAAAAACUGGGCCUUCCUCUUGGAACGUACAUUGGCUUCCUCCUCGUCCUCCUCCCCCGUGGAUAACAAGGGUUCCUCGCCAUCAUCCAGACUCAGUGAAACAUCGUCAUCUGGUCCGAUGUCAACAGUGUCUACAGGGGGCGAGGGAGGCCACGACUCUUCAGAUUCUGUCUGAGCUCCUGCUUCCUCCAAGUCCUCCUUGUUUUCUGACACUUCAUCAACUUCCUUCACAGCGUCUGGCUUUAUUUCUACAGAUCUCUGGAGGACCUCAUGGCCGCCCAACCUAAGUUUCAGUUUCUUGACUUCUAGUGUUUGCUCCUCACCGUCUGUUUCCGAGGGAUUUGAUGUUGCGGAAAGCUGCUCAGAGGUCUUUGGAGCGAGCUUGCCUUUCUUCUUUCUGCUUGCUUUUGCAGCCGCGGAUUCUUCCCGGUCCAAGUUGGAUGCAUAACCGGUCGGCUCUUGUAGGAGCCCAGCGCUGAUAGCGGCGCUGCAGAUCUUCAAGAGCUCCUCGCAAUCCAAAAGCCUCGCCGUUUCUUCUAUGUCCACGAUUUUGCUCUGUGUGAUUACCACUUUGCCAGUGUAGACAAACUCCAAAAACGUGGAAAAGUCGCCGGGCUGCAUGAUGGAAAGCGGGAUGUUGUCCCGUGCACCACCAUCCUGAGAGAGGAAUAUGUUUUUAAAGUACCCGCUGGAGGCGGCGAGGAUCACCUGGUGCGCCUGGAAAGCCUGCACGUCUCCUUGGUAGUCCACCUGCACGGUGACGUCACUGAGGAGACCUUGCAGUCUCAGGUUGUGUAGAGAGUCCAGCAUGUGCUCGUGGUGGGACGUAGAGUAGACUUGCCUGGGGUCACCAAAUGUUUGUUGAAACAGUUCGAAGGCAGAACAGGAAGUGGAAGAGGUCACAUAAUCCACCAGCUGACUUACAACAGUAGAGCUCCAUCUGCAGGAUCUGGCGGGGCCUCAACGGUAGUUGACACUACAGUGUUAAAAAUGUGUGUGGAUUUUACAGUAAAAAUGCAGACACACAUCCCACCACUGCAGAGUCAUCUGAGAACUUCUGCAGAUGGCAGCGGUUGGAGUCAAUUCCUGAAGUCUUAGGUGUAUGGUGUGAACAGGAAAGUUUCACCCACAGGAGUGACGGCUGGACGGUGUUAAAAGCACUGGAGAAGUCAAAGAACAAGACUCUUAUCACACUUCCUGCAGUCUCUAGGUUGGUGAGGGCCCGAUGCAGCAGUCAGACCACAGCACUUUCCUACCUUCUGACACUAAUGUUGGCUGCAGGAAGAGACCCGCCUGAAAACAGGAACUCCUUUUUGGUGAAAUUAGGACAUCCCGUGGGGAACAUUGCUGCCUUCUUCAUUGGUCGAUAGCAACUCCCACCUGGAGAAAUGGACUGCACUUCGUCAGGCCUCUUUCUUCAGACCUGUACAACAUGGGUGUCUUACCUGAAGACUAAGUUCCUGCUGGUAUAGCUCUUCAAGUCUUCAUGUCACUUAGGUGUUACGGUGGGGUUGCUGCUUGCUGCAAGGUUUGUUCCUCCCAGAUGCAAACAGAACACUCUGGACAAGACUUGCAGCUUCUCCGGCACAUUUCUAUCAUUUGGCAUUGAGUGAUCUCAUCCUUCCUUGCACCUCCCGCUCUUCUCUUCUGGCGUGUGAUCACGUUUCAAAGAGGAAGCGACCCUGCAGGCUUUUUCGGAUGUGGCAACUCUGAUUCUGUGACGGCCGCCGUUUCACAGAGACAGAGCGAGAAGGCCUCAUGCCGCAUUCUAACAAUCUUUGAUGAUGACAUCCCCGAGCCCCCAGGCCUCGAUGACCUUCGCGACGCAACAUGGCAGCUUGUUAGGAAGUAGGUUAAGUCGCGGCGCUCCCGGGGGCUGAGGGAGAUGCGGAGAAGCUCAGCCAUCUUCUGCCGCUUGACCUCUGCAAGUCUUCGAGGACGAGUCAGUCGUGAGUCCUCGCCGCCGCUCUCCCACGAGCAUGCUGGGGAAAGCUGAUGAGGCCCCAGCGGGUUUUCUCCAGUGAGUCACACCUCCUCUCAGACGGGAGAAGGGAUUCUCCCGGGAUUCUAACGGCAUAUUGCAUGACGUGUGUCGUUUGUCUUUCACCGGAAAAAAAUACAUUACCAUAUUUCCUUGAAUAGCCGCCGGGCAUAUAGUAUGCGCCUGCCUUGAAUUAAUGCCCGGUCAAACUCGCUUCCCAAAAUAAUUAGCGCAUGCUUAGUAUUACCGCCUGGUCAAACUCGUGACGUCAUGGGUGACACUUCCCCUGUCAUCAUUUUCAAAAUGGAGGAGGCUGAUUUCAAUACCGGUAAUUUGAAAUCGCAUAAAGGGAAGAAGAUUAAGAGCUAUUCAUUAUGAUUUAAGGUCCAAACUUACAUCACACUCAAAUUUUUACUGCAUACCUUUGGUAAGUGCCUGAGUGAGAAGAGGUUUUAAAAUAAUUUGCGCAUGCUUACUUUUACAGCAUGCCUUUGGUAAGCGCAUCAGUGAGAAGAGGUUUUAAAUUAAUUAGCCCCCCGGUGGCAAUUCAAGGAAAUACGGUAGUCCAAAUUUUCCCCGAACGAAGUUGACUCUGCAACUUUCCACCUUUUGAAAGUAUAAUCAGGGAUAAAACAUUGCACUGUUUUAGGGCAUUUGUAGAGCCCCCUAUGGGUAGUGUUUAAAAUAUAUUUUUAAGCCACACUGGCCUACAUGUAAUACAUAUUAAGUUGAAGUACCAAUGAUUGUCACACACACUAGAAGUAGUGAGAUUAUUAUGUGCAUUAAACCCAUCACCCUCACCCACUGGGAGGUGAGGGAAGCAGUGAGCAACAGCGGUGGCCACGCUCGGGAAUCAUUUUGGUCAUUUAACCCCCAAUUCCAACCCUUGAUGCUAAGUGUCAAGCAGGAAGGUAAUUGGUCCCAUUUUUAUAGUCUUUGGUAUGACUCGGCCGGGUUUUGGACUCACGACCUACCGAUCUCAGUGCGGACACUCUAACAAGCUUUAUCACCAUUACACACAUGCUAAACGACUUAUGGACAAUUGGUUGCUAAGUAAGUAAGACAGUUUGCUUGAUGGCGGCCAUGUUUUUCAACCUAGCUUUUUCAUACAGCGCUUCACUUUAUGCACAUGUUUUUAUGUGACAGCCUUAUUCCGAAAUGAAAUAGAUUCAUUUUUGUCCUCAAAAACCUACACACAGUACUCCAUAAUGACAUUGUGAACAUGUUGUCUUUUUUUAUUUCAGCAUUUUUUUCAAAACUAUAAAACUAAAAAAAAACACAUUUGCAUAAGUACUCACAGCAUUUGCCCAAUAAAUAGUUUUUUGAUGCCCCUUUGGCAGAAAUUACAGCCUCAAGUUGUUUUGAAUACAAUGCCACAAGCUUGGCACAACUACCUUUGGGCAGUUUCGCCCAUUCCGCUUUGCAGCGCCUCUCAAGCUCUAUCAGGUUGCAUAGGAAGCGUUGGUUUUCAUCCAAGAUGUCUCUGUACACUGCUGCAUUUAUCUUUCCUUCUAUCCUGACGUGUCUCACAGUUCCUGCCACUAAAAACAGCCCCACAGCAUGAUGCUGCCACCACCGUUCUCCAGUAGGGAUGGCAUUGGCCUAGUGAUGAGCGGUCAGGGGCGCCGCUAGGGAUUUUGGGCCCCAUGAAAAGAAUCUUUACAUGACCACUCUGUAUUAUAAUUUCAUCAUCAUUAGGGGCCUCUCCGGGCCCACCUCCAUCAUGGGCCUCUAGAAUCCGUCUCCUUUACCCCCCCCUUUUUGGCGCCCCUGUGAGCGGUGCCUGGUUUCCUCCAACUAUUUUGUUAUUUCACGCAUGUUCACAUCAGCAUCACACAUUUUCAAAUUGCUCAUUUCUUGUUACUCAACGCUGUCUGGCUAGCAUGCUAGCAUUUCAGUUCGACGUUUCAGCAUUCACAUGAAAUUUCCACCGAAAUUGCUUUUUCUGGUUCCCAAUAAAAUGUGUUUUGUGUUGAUGCUUUGGGUGACUGGAACAGAAUAUUUUUAUUUGCAUUAUUUCCGGUGGGAAAAUUUGCUUCGGUUUUUGCUUGAUUUGGCCCUAGUCUGACUUUUCGGAAGGGAUUACAACUGAGGUACCGCGCUGCAUUGUUCCAUGAAUGCCUCUCCAUCGGAAAGGAAAA